AGCGAAGUGAAAUGCGUCGGGCGACGGCGGGGUGGCCGAUUUGGCCCCGCGCCGCAUCCGCCUCCGU
rnacentral:sRNA from 1 species